GAAGAAGGCCCAGCCCUGGCUCACAGCUGAGUCACAUUACAACUCCCUCUCCGGUAAGCUGGAGGAGAGAAUGCCAAACCACCGGAAGACCAGUCAUGUGGGCUUUCCGGGGCAGCAGGUACAUCUGGGCCCUCUUCAAAGGCUUGUGGAUGCCAUCACCUCAGCGUGAAAUCCUUCGACUAUCCAGUGACAUCCUAGGUACAGAUGAGCAGCAUGUCACCUCCUGAGACAUUUAUUCACCUCUGAGCCAAGAAAUAUGACCUCUUUAGGUUUUCCUGCAACGAUCUUCCAUUUCAUGGAAUGAAUGCCAGUGAAUGACUAGUCAGGCCCAGAAUAGGAAGUGCUGACUGUUUACGUGGAACAAUGCUUAUGACACAUUGUUGAGUGAUGAAGGAGGAACUCAGGACAACGUGACUCCAGUGAUUGUCAUCAUCCACCUCCGCCAUGUAUAAGAAAGUGGAACUGAGUCAUAUCCUACUGCACCAAGCAGCCCUGGUUGAUGGUUUUAGUACUGUUUAUUUUCUAUUACCACAGCAAUACUGGCUCUUUCACUCACUCCUUGUGGGUCUCUGAGCAAAUAAAUAAACUGUGUUUUAGUUUGGG
rnacentral:lncRNA from 1 species